rnacentral:rRNA from 1 species
CUCCCGACUGUUUACCAAAAACACAGCACUCUGCUAACUCGUAAGAGGAUGUAUAGGGUGUGACGCCUGCCCGGUGCUCGAAGGUUAAUUGAUGGGGUUAGCAUUAGCGAAGCUCUUGAUCGAAGCCCGAGUAAACGGCGGCCGUAACUAUAACGGUCCUAAGGUAGCGAAAUUCCUUGUCGGUUAAAUACCGACCUGCAUGAAUGGCGUAACGAGAUGGGAGCUGUCUCAAAGAGGGAUCCAGUGAAAUUGUAGUGGAGGUGAAAAUUCCUCCUACCCGCGGCAAGACGGAAAGACCCCGUGGACCUUUACUAUAACUUGACACUGCUACUUGGAUAAGAAUGUGCAGGAUAGGUGGGAGGCUUUGAGUAUAUGACGCCAGUUGUAUAUGAGCCAUUGUUGAGAUACCACUCUUUCUUAUUUGGGUAGCUAACCAGCUUGAGUUAUCCUCAAGUGGGACAAUGUCUGGUGGGUAGUUUGACUGGGGCGGUCGCCUCCCAAAUAAUAACGGAGGCUUACAAAGGUUGGCUCAGAACGGUUGGAAAUCGUUCGUAGAGUAUAAAGGUAUAAGCCAGCUUAACUGCAAGACAUACAAGUCAAGCAGAGACGAAAGUCGGUCUUAGUGAUCCGGUGGUUCUGUGUGGAAGGGCCAUCGCUCAAAGGAUAAAAGGUACCCCGGGGAUAACAGGCUGAUCUCCCCCAAGAGCUCACAUCGACGGGGAGGUUUGGCACCUCGAUGUCGGCUCAUCGCAUCCUGGGGCUGGAGCAGGUCCCAAGGGUAUGGCUGUUCGCCAUUUAAAGCGGUACGCGAGCUGGGUUCAGAACGUCGUGAGACAGUUCGGUCCCUAUCUGCCGUGGGCGUAAGAAGAUUGAAGAGAUUUGACCCUAGUACGAGAGGACCGGGUUGAACAAACCACUGGUGUAGCUGUUGUUCUGCCAAGAGCAUCGCAGCGUAGCUAAGUUUGGAAAGGAUAAACGCUGAAAGCAUCUAAGCGUGAAGCCAACUCUAAGAUGAAUCUUCUCUAAGCUCUCUAGAAGACUACUAGUUUGAUAGGCUGGGUGUGUAAUGGAUGAAAGUCCUUUAGCUGACCAGUACUAAUAGAGCGUUUGGCUUAUCUUUAAUAAAGCAU